GGCGGGGUAGCUCAGUUGGUUAGAGCGUUGGACUCAUAAGCCAAAGGUCGGUGGUUCGAUCCCACUCCCCGCUACCA
rnacentral:tRNA from 1 species